rnacentral:lncRNA from 1 species
UGGAAUGAUUCUUAUAGUUUGUGGUGGAUGAAUCGGCUAAGUAAUUUUCUGUAUAGGGUUUGGUAGAGUUUCGGCUAUGUAAUUACAAGGGUAGAGAUCCUCCCCUUCUGCCCUUGAAGUCGUGCUUUAUAUAGAGGAAAAACCCUAGAGAAGCCGGCCACAAAGUUGAAACCAAGUUGGUUUAGGUUUCCCUAGUUUUUCUCAAUUCGGCAGAAUGACCUCCGUCUGAUGAUUACGUCAUAACUCCCUCUAGAAAAUAGAUAUUGAGGUGAUUCCAAUUGAUUUGGAAACUAGACUCCUCUAGCUCUCUAUCCAUAUCUAACACGUUUUCUGAUUCAUUGUGAGCUGUCCUGGAGAGUCAGUUGAAGUUGAGAGACGUGCACAGGAAUUUUCCCGAAAUUAAUCAGGGUUUUCAAGACUUGGAUAUUCCUUGAUAUUCUGCCGAAUUUAGAUCUUCUUCUCCAUAUUGGACUUGGUUUGGACCUCUCCUUUCAUGGACUAGGCUUCGUGGAUCAGCUGCUUUGCUUCCCUAGGUCCAUCAUGAACACUUCUCUCGGCAAUGAUUCAAGCAUAACUUCAAUUCUCCUGAUUCUUUCAUGGACUAGGCUUCGUGGAUCAGCUGCUUUGCUUCCCUAGGUCCAUCAUGAACACUUCUCUCGGCAAUGAUUCGAGCAUAACUUCAAUUCUCCUAAUUCUUUCUCCCAUAACUCUUCUACAUGUCACCUAAGUAUCAGAGAAGUUAAAUCAAUUUGUGACAAUAUAAAAGCUUUACAGAAUCAUAAGAACAUCUCUAAGGCUCCACAAAUCAGCUUUUGACAAUUUUCUACAUCAUUCCUCUAUGUUUAACACGUUUUACGCACAACUCUACCAAAAACUUUCGACUCUACAUUAUGACUCUAUUCUAUGACAAUAAGAGAUAAUCAAAGUACAAAUGGAGGUAUUUUAUGCGCCUAUCAUUAACAAAGGGAAAUCCCUCGAGAAAUAUCUUAACAAAAUGAAACCCUUUAGAGAAAAAAUAAAAACCUUCAAAGAAUAUGUCAAUGAGAUGAAACAGUAUGAGGAAAUAUGAAACAUUUUGAGAAAAAUCUCAGUAAUG